rnacentral:snoRNA from 13 species
GCAGACUCACUCUGCAUCCGCCUGCAGCCCCAAGGCGGGUGCUUUUUCAGUCUGCCAGAGAAAUAGUCCAGGUGCUGCAGCUGUCUGACCCACUGUCAAGGGCAGUGCAGCUGCCUGGGGACACGGGU